rnacentral:lncRNA from 1 species
UCAGAGAGUCCUCUCUCUCGGCAUGGACACAAAAGAAAAGCAUGUGAGGACACAGAGAGAAGGUGGCUGUCUACGAGCUAGGAAGAAAGGCCUCACCGGAAACCAACCCUCACAGCAGCUCCAUCUUGGACUUCCAGCCUCCGGAACUGUGAGAAAAUAAAUGUUUGCAAUUCAGGUCGGUUGUAUUUUGUGAAGGCCAUCCUAGCAAAUGAAUACUCCUAACAUUGUCUCUUUAAGAGCUCACCAGCCUGAGGUAGGAAUCAUUCCAUCUGUGUUACUAAUGAGGCCGCUGAGGAUCAAAGGGGUUUUCCACCACAUCCACUCACCUCUACAUGGCGAAAACCAAGGGUUCACUCUCUGUCUUCAGGGAGCUCCCCUCAGCAGCAGCGUUUGACAGAGCUGUUCACUUCCUCUUCCUGGAGCUGUGGCUUCCAGAGCCCAUGCUCAGCAGUUCCCCUCCUUCUUCCACUGCUCCUCUCUUAGGCUCAAAACCUGUAACAAUGCAUGGCACACGGAAGAUGUGAGAAUUUGCUGAAUAACUGAAUGGCACCAUGUUGCCUCACCUAAGGAUAAUGACUAAGAAUAGGAAAAAUUUACGUGCAAAGAUCAGUUCUUAAUAGCUGUCUACAUCUCAGAACAAAAAAAAUUAGAUGUAAACCAUUGCACAAAGGAUUAGAUGAAUUUUUUUUUUUAAAUCAGACAUUGGAGGCUCAGAGCCACUCAGACAUUGGGAAGCAAGUUUGUCAAGAUGACAGAGAACCGAGGUAAUGGAUUCGAGUGAUGAAACAGGAAGUUCAUUCAUGAGUUUUUGGCCACACCUCCAAAGUGACGACUUAGCCAGAAAUGGGAUAACUGGGUUUCCCUACUUCUCUUUUAUCAUCCUCAAUGAGAGUGACCAAAUAUUAGAGCUAGAUGGAACCUUAGUGAAAAUCUGGCUACUCGUCCCGUCCCACCAGCCUGCCACCCAUUUCAAGUUUGAAGAGACAAAGACACAUGGACCUUAUGUAAUUACUGGGGAUUACCCCAGGAGUCUGUGGCAAAAGUCAGCUUCUUCCCUCCCUGCUUCCCCGCCCUGUCUCUGGUGCUUUCUACCAACACUGGGCUGUUUCUGUGAUCAUACUUAAGCGUACCUAACCUGUGAAUGCUGUAUAGAAGGUGCUAAUGAACAUGAUUUAGCUUUAACACUCAGUUUUCUAAAGGGACACGUGGGGGCAGCAAAUGUUUAG